GGAACGAUUAUUCCAAAGAGUUUAAUGGCUGCCUAGUGUGACAUCGCACAGAUGGCCCCGAUCCGCUGAACCCUUCCUGUGGAGAACCGUUCAUUUGGCCAACGAACAGGGACCGAGGACCCUGGAGCCCUCGGAGCAUAAGCGACGAACGUUCCCAGGAAGCAACAACUCAGCCCAGGCAUGGGCUAGUCGGAGCCUGGAGAUCUCAGCUGGGAUCCUGGCGCCUGGGGAAGGGCCCGGCUCUAAAAAUAAACUGCUCGCCUCAGCCUGGGAGCAGCCGUGCGAGCCUGGCGAGCAGGGGCUGCUGCCCGCCACUCCGGGCAGAUGACGGCGGGCCUGGCCCAGCCAGAGUGCCCCCCUCUCUGGCAGCUGGCCACUGGGACAGGCUGGUGGCAGCUGGCAGCCAGGAAUAUUUGACCCCCGACUCCCGGAGGUGCCCCCCCACCCCCAACCGCCCUGCCGCACACGUGAAUACACAUAUGCCCCAACCUGGGACGUGCUCCGCAGAGCGUGGCCAGACUGCUCCCGGGGACCAGCCGGUGAGGGGCAGUGGGGACGCCAGGAGGUGCCCUCCGCAUGCUGGACAGUGACAAGUCUCAGAACAGGUUCACAGGAAGAAGCCCGUUUCGGUGGGGGCUGCCUUGGGCAUUGAGCUGGGCCCAGUGGAACUGAAUCGAAGCGAGGGGACCCAUCCUGGCAGCUCUGCACCUUUGUCCCCUGGUGCUCGGGGGGCUGUCAAAUCUGACUUUCCGCCUAAAUGGAUUUCUGUGCCUGCUCCCUGGGCACGAUAUUCACCCAAAGUCGAGGCGAUUAGGGCUAAUUCCAUUUCCUCCGGUGCCCGGGAGGGGGCAGGCGGGGAGAGGGGCUCCGUGGAGGGGGGCCUGCUGGCUGCCUUCAUCCCCAUUUAUCAGAGGAGAGCAGGUGCUGGGC
rnacentral:lncRNA from 1 species